UACGAAGGGGACUAGCGUUGUUCGGAAUCACUGGGCGUAAAGCGCACGUAGGCGGCUUUUUAAGUCAGAGGUGAAAUCCUGGAGCUCAACUCCAGAACUGCCUUUGAUACUGGAGAGCUUGAGUCCGGGAGAGGUGAGUGGAACUGCGAGUGUAGAGGUGAAAUUCGUAGAUAUUCGCAAGAACACCAGUGGCGAAGGCGGCUCACUGGCCCGGUACUGACGCUGAGGUGCGAAAGCGUGGGGAGCAAACAGG
rnacentral:rRNA from 1 species